UACGGGGGGGGCAAGCGUUGUUCGGAAUUACUGGGCGUAAAGGGCUCGUAGGUGGCCAACUAAGUCAGACGUGAAAUCCCUCGGCUUAACCGGGGAACUGCGUCUGAUACUGGAUGGCUUGAGUUCGGGAGAGGGAUGCGGAAUUCCUGGUGUAGCGGUGGAAUGCGCAGAUAUCAGGAGGAACACCGAUGGCGAAGGCAGCUCGCUGGGACGGUACUGACGCUGAGGCGCGAAAGCGUGGGGAGCGAACAGG
rnacentral:rRNA from 1 species